CCUACGGGUGGCAGCAGUGAGGAAUAUUGGUCAAUGGGCGCGAGCCUGAACCAGCCAAGUAGCGUGAAGGAUGACUGCCCUACGGGUUGUAAACUUCUUUUAUAAAGGAGUAAAGUGAGGCACGUGUGCCUUUUUGUAUGUACGUUAUGAAUAAGGAUCGCCUAACUCCGUGCCAGCAGCCGCGGUAAUACGGAGGAUCCGAGCGUUAUCCGGAUUUGUUGGGUUUAAAGGGAGCGUAGAUGGGUUGUUAAGUCAGUUGUGAAAGUUUGCGGCUCAACCGUAAAAUUGCAUUGGAUACUGGCAGCCUUGAGUACAGUAGAGGGAGGCGGAAUUCGAGGUGUAGCGGUGAAAUGCGUAGAUAUCACGAAGAACACCGAUGGCGAAGGCAGCCCACUAAACUGCCACUGACAUUGAUGUUCGAAAGUGUGGGUAGCAAACAGGAUUAGAUACCCCUGUAGUC
rnacentral:rRNA from 1 species